UGGUGACCUUGGAAGAUGGUGGUGGCAUAGGUAGAAGCAACCUACUUUUCUGAGUUACUAUUUGGAGGAGAGUCUUCCACAGAUUAGGAGCAUUAGGACUAUGUAGAAGUAAACAGCCCUGGGACAAAGAACAGACUACGGGUAUUGCCUUCUUAAUCAACAAUAAAGUAUUAGUUGGCUUCCAGGCAGACACCACUGACUUUCAAGAGAAAGGCACGGGAGUAAGGAAGUAAAGAAUUCAGAAUUCACUAUGGAGCUCAUACAACUACCACCUUCAGCUAUUAAUCAAGGAGUCAUUCAACUGAGAAAGGGGAGAUUGAGAUGCUGAAUCAUUUCUCAUUCUGUGAAGUCUACCAGAAUAACCCAUAAAGCAAAUAUCAACCUAUUUCAAGUGAGUUGUGCAAGAAAAUUAUUUAGAAUAAAAUGAUAGUUUGUUUUUUCAAUUCA